GGCCUGGUCCUCGGCAAUCCCCCUUCGUGUUACUGCUCCCCAGUCACUUACUGCAGGAAGCGCCAUCCACGGGGUGCAGUACAUCCCACCGCUGCCACCAGUUGUCACGGAGUCCCUGGGCGAUGCUCUGGAACUGCUCCCCAUGAAGCCAGUCAGGACUCUGGGGCAGUCGCCUUUCUGUGAGCAGCCUGUCUUCAGGACACGCAGCUCACUCAGCUUCCACCUUCCUGGGUCUGACCUCGGAGCAUUCAGCAUCCUCUGCCCCUCCGUGCGCUUCCCACAGCGAGUCCGCUCAGGCGGGGCUCCUGGGGAAGCCAGAGGGUCCUGCACCCCAACUUCGCAGUCAGACGUGACUCUCAGCCAGCCAGUAAAACAGAAGGUUUAUUAGACGACAGGAACAUGGUCUAAAACAGAGCUUGCAGGUGCAGAGAACGGGACCCCUCAGCUGGGUCCAUUUUGGGGGGCAGUGAGCCAGACAACCACGUCUGCACUUCACUCCAUGUCCCAGCCAGCCCCAAACUGAAAACCCCCUCCAGUCCCUCCUCCUCUGGGCUUUGUUCCUUUCCCGGGCCAGGUGGUCACCUGAUUCCUUUGUUCUCCAACCCUUUAGCUCUCACCUUGCAGGGGGGAAGGGCCCAGGCCAUCAGUUGCCAGGAAACAGGGUGUUGGCCAUUCUCUGUGUCCAGACCCCUGCACACACCUGCCCUCUAGGGCUCUGCAAUGAUCAUACACCCUUACCCCACCCCCUAGAUACUUAAGAACUGCCUAGGGGAAACUGAGGCACCCCCACACUAUUCAGAGGAAACAUUAAGAACAGUCCCACUUCGUCACAAAUGCACAGGACAGGGCACUAUGGAGUGAGCCGUUCUCUGUCCUCCAGCCCCAGCUUUUGGCAAACAGUCUGGGGACACUCAGAGUGUGGGGUUGUGUCCCUGCCCGUCCUGGAUCAUCACCACGGAGGGACCUACGUGCCAGGAAUUGAUCUAGUUCUUUUUUGAACCCUGUCAUAAUCUUGGUCUUCAACAUCCCCUGGCAGUGAGUUCCACAGGUUGUCUGUGUGUUGGGUGAUGAAUCACUUCGUUUGGUUGUUUUGAA